rnacentral:rRNA from 1 species
UACGUAGGGUGCAAGCGUUGUCCGGAAUUAUUGGGCGUAAAGGGCUCGUAGGCGGUUUGUCGCGUCGGCCGUGAAAACCUGCAGCUUAACUGUGGGCUUGCGGUCGAUACGGGCAUCACUGGAGUUCGGCAGGGGAGACUGGAAUUCCUGGUGUAGCGGUGAAAUGCGCAGAUAUCAGGAGGAACACCGGUGGCGAAGGCGGGUCUCUGGGCCGAUACUGACGCUGAGGAGCGAAAGCGUGGGGAGCGAACAGG